ACCCAGAUAGCUCAGUCAGUAAAACAUGAGAAUCUUAAUCUCAGGGUCUUGGUUUCAAGCUCAACAUUGGGCA